rnacentral:tRNA from 1 species
UUGGUGGAAGCCAAACUAGAGGCUAGUCACUGUUAAUGAUUGAACUGAAACUAAUUUCCCACCAAG